UUUUAAGCUACCAUUUGUAAAGGAGAUCAAUGUAAGGAAUUCAGGUUUAACUUUCAACAUUUCAUAAACAGUAUUUUCAGAAUUUCUUUACUGAAAAUGAGACUUUGAUAAAAUUCACUUUGGUUAACAAUUUUUAGAAUAUAUAUUAUGUAGUAAUUUGUAUUCUUUUAUUGUUAAUGUAGACUUUGACCUAGUUACUUCACAGAUACUCUGAAAGAUUGAAGUGGUUGUCAUAUAUUGGGGUGCUUUAACAUUAAAUCUUAAUUCUUUCCAAUGGACCUCUUUAUUAUGAUUUAUAUUUUAUGUCUUCACUUUACUAGGGGUGAUCCAUUCAUGUUGCAGCAGUCUACAAAUCCAGCACCAGGAAUUCUGGGACCUCCACCUCCCUCAUUUCAUCUUGGGGGACCAGCAGUUGGACCAAGAGGAAAUCUGGGUGCUGGAAAUGGAAACCUGCAAGGACCUAGACACAUGCAGAAAGGCAGAGUGGAAACUAGCAGAGUUGUUCACAUCAUGGAUUUUCAACGAGGGAAAAACUUGAGAUACCAGCUGUUACAGCUGGUAGAACCAUUUGGAGUCAUUUCAAAUCAUCUGAUUCUAAAUAAAAUUAAUGAGGCAUUUAUUGAAAUGGCAACCACAGAGGAUGCUCAGGCCGCAGUGGAUUAUUACACAACCACACCAGCGUUAGUAUUUGGCAAGCCAGUGAGAGUUCAUUUAUCCCAGAAGUAUAAAAGAAUAAAGAAACCUGAAGGAAAGCCAGAUCAGAAGUUUGAUCAAAAGCAAGAGCUUGGACGUGUGAUACAUCUCAGCAAUUUGCCGCAUUCUGGCUAUUCUGAUAGUGCUGUUCUCAAGCUUGCUGAGCCUUAUGGGAAAAUAAAGAAUUACAUAUUGAUGAGGAUGAAAAGUCAGGCUUUUAUUGAGAUGGAGACAAGAGAAGAUGCAAUGGCAAUGGUUGACCAUUGUUUGAAAAAAGCCCUUUGGUUUCAGGGGAGAUGUGUGAAGGUUGACCUGUCUGAGAAAUAUAAAAAACUGGUUCUGAGGAUUCCAAACAGAGGCAUUGAUUUACUGAAAAAAGAUAAAUCCCGAAAAAGAUCUUACUCUCCAGAUGGCAAAGAAUCUCCAAGUGAUAAGAAAUCCAAAACUGAUGGUUCCCAGAAGACUGAGAGUUCAACCGAAGGUAAAGAACAAGAAGAGAAGUCCGGUGAAGAUGGUGAGAAAGACACAAAGGAUGACCAGACAGAGCAGGAACCUAAUAUGCUCCUUGAAUCUGAAGAUGAGCUACUUGUAGAUGAAGAAGAAGCAGCAGCACUGCUAGAAAGUGGCAGUUCAGUGGGAGACGAGACCGAUCUUGCUAAUUUAGGUGAUGUGGCUUCUGAUGGGAAAAAGGAACCAUCAGAUAAAGCUGUGAAAAAAGAUGGAAGUGCUUCAGCAGCAGCAAAGAAAAAGCUUAAAAAGCGUCGUUUUCCAGGGAGUAUGGAAGGUUUUGUCACUCUAGAUGAGGUUGGUGAUGAGGAAGAUUCGGAACUUCAGAAACUUCGUAAAUCGGGCAUGGCAUUUAAAUCUGGUGACAAAAAUGAUGAUGGUUUGGUUGAAAUUAAGGUGGACAAGAUGGAGGAACUUGAUCAAGAAAACGAAGCAGCGUUGGAAAAUGGAAUUAAAAAUGAGGAAAACACAGAACCAGGUGCUGAAUCUGCUGAGAACGCUGAUGAUCCCAACAAAGAUACAAGUGAAAACGCAGAUGGUCAAAGUGAUGAGAACAAGGAGGACUAUACAAUCCCAGAUGAGUAUAGAAUUGGACCAUAUCAGCCCAAUGUUCCUGUUGGUAUAGACUAUGUGAUACCUAAAACAGGGUUUUACUGUAAGCUGUGUUCACUCUUUUAUACAAAUGAAGAAGUUGCAAAGAAUACUCAUUGCAGCAGCCUUCCUCAUUAUCAGAAAUUAAAGAAAUUUCUGAAUAAAUUGGCAGAAGAACGCAGACAGAAGAAGGAAACUUAAGAUGUGCAAGGAGAUUUAAUGAUUUCAAAGAAAAUAAUGGUUCUUUGUUUUUAAUGUUAACCUUUUUUAAAUACAAUACUGAUAGUUAGAAGAAAACUAUUGUACUCUUUUGUUUUAGUGGAGAAAUAAUAGAUGUCUGUUCAUGUGUUAAGUGUUAUAGCAAAAAAAAUACACAUGGUUAAGUUAAUGAAUAGUUUUUGUUUUAUCAGAAUGGCAACAGACAGAAGUACUUUGUAGAGAUUGACUUCCUA
rnacentral:sRNA from 1 species